rnacentral:lncRNA from 1 species
CAGAAUGACCAAAUGUUGAUGCUGCCUGAUGAUGAUGUCCAUAGCCUGGGCCUCUUCCCAUCUGGCUCCUUGGAUUACCUCACAGCCCUUCCCAGAGCUCUCACCACCAUCAAAGCUUGCCAUCUGGAGAAAACACAGGGCAACCGUGGCCUAUGGAUAGAUGCUUAGAGAAUCCAACCUUAAUCCUGAGCAUGAGGGUGUUGGCGUUUGGAAAAGAGGAAGAAGGGGAAGCAGGCAAAUGUGGGCUUGGAGAGUGACAAUGCUAAUGCAAUAGGGUAAAUAACAAGCUUGGAAGUGAAGACCAGGCCAGUUUCCUAGAGCACUUUUCCAUUCUGUAUCUUGAGACUAUGGAGACAGGAAGUGGAGAGAGCAGAUAAAUCUCUGUAUAAAGGAACACUAGGAGGACAUGUAAGAAACAAAUACAAGUGGUUACACAGCCUAGGGGUAGAGGGUCAAUGGGAACAGAACUUCUCAAUGCAUAUGCUAUUAUGUUGUUCGAUUUCUGAAUGAUG